rnacentral:rRNA from 1 species
CCCUUAGAUGUUCUGUGCCGCACGCGCGCUACACUGAGCCCUUCAUCGAGUUUACAACCUUGGCCGGUAGGUCUGGGUAAUCUUCUCAAAGGGGCUCGUGCUGGGGAUAGAUUAUUGUAAUUUUUAAUCUUCAACGAGGAAUUCCUAGUAAACGCAAGUCAACAGCUUGCAUUGAUUACGUCCCUGCCCUUUGUACACACCGCCCGUCGCUACUACCGAUUGAAUGGCUUAGUGAGCCCGAGGGACUGUUGCACCUAGAGGGUUUUCUCUCCAGGAGCAGCCGGGAACUCGGUCAAACUUGAUCAUUUAGAGGAAGUAAAAGUCGUAACA